GUCGUUCCCUUGCCUAGUGAAAUUCAAAAACUAUCCCAAUACCCUAAUUGAGAAAUUUGGGGAGAAAGAAAGAGGGGGAAAAAGAGAGAGUGAGAGAUCGACUGGGGGAGAGAGAGAGAGACUGAGAGACCGAGAAAGGGAGAUAUUUGAAACCGUAAGGGAAAGAGAGAUCGAGACCGAGACUGAGAGAGAAAGAUAUAUCGAGAAAGGGGAAGGAGAGACCGAGAAUGAGAAGAGGGAAUUUGCGGCGUCUCCGUCCGCUCCGGUAGGCUAGGGUCUACUCCGCCGCUUCAAGAGGCAGCUCUAGCUCUGGCUCCGACCAAGUAUAGCAUUGGAAGCACUUCAUUGGUGCUCUCCUCCUUAGACUUACACCGAUUGAUGAGCUUGAUUCCAUCGAUGGGAUGAGCUGUCGAUGACGAGAUUUGGUGUUUGUAAUUAGUGAUGAGCUUCAAUUGUGAAUUGGAGGUAUAAGUUGUGUUGUGCUAUGGGGGAAGAGCUUUAAUCGUGAAAUUUGGUUGUUAGGGUUUUGGGUUCACAAUUGUUAGCCAAACGUGUGAGUCAGUCACAUGACUCUAAAUGUGGUGGAAAAUUGACGUGGAUAAGUUAGUAAUGACACGUAGGAUGAAUUUAUUUAUUUUUU